UACGGAGGGUGCAAGCGUUUAUCCGGAUUCACUGGGUUUUAAAAGGGUGCGUAGGAGGGCAGGGAAGUCCGUGGUGAAAUCCUAGAGCUUAACUCUAGAACUGCCGUGGAUACUCUCUGUCUUGAAUCCCGUGGAGAUGAGCGGAAUAUGUCAUGUAGCGGUGAAAUGCUUAGAUAUGACAUAGAACACCAAUUGCGAAGGCAGCUCGGUUAC
rnacentral:rRNA from 1 species